rnacentral:lncRNA from 1 species
CACAGAGUCUCCACAAGAUAAGAACAGGCUGGCCAGACCUCCAGUGCCAGCAGUGUAGCAGGGCAUAGCACAGGAAGCCUGCAGGUCUUCUUUAAUAUUUCUCGCAACAGACAUGCAUGGUAUGUACCGACUAAUAAAUGGAAAUUAGCAGAAAGAAAGAGAGAGAGAGAGAAAGAAAGAAAGAAAGAAAGAAAGAAAGAAAGAAAGAAAGAAAGAAAGAAAAAAUUAAAAAGUACAGAAUACCCAAGAUACAGUCCACAGAACUCGAAAAGGGAUGGAAAUGGAGAGUAGCCUGAGACAAAGAAGAUCUGGCGACAGGCCCAAACUGGGAUCCAGCUCAAGAAGAGGUCUGGAGGCCUGACACUAUUACUGAGGCUAUGGAGCGCUCACAAAAAAGGGACCUAUCAUGACCGUCCUCCAGAAGACCAACAAGCAGCUCAAAGUGUCAGAUGCAGAUAUUUCCACCCAACCAAUGUUCAGAAGCUGCUGACCCCUGUGGUUGAAUUAGGGAAAGACUAGAAGAAGCUGAGGAGGAGGGCAGCCCUCUAAGAGGACCAGGAGUCUCAAUUAACCUGGUCCCCCGAGAUCUCUCAAACACUGGACCACCAACCAGGAAGCAUAUACCAGAUGACAUGAGGCCCCAAACACAGACACAGCUGAGGACUGCUGGGUCUGGAAGAUACACCGAACCCUCAAGAGACUGGAGGCCCCAGUGAGUUGAGAGAUCUGGUUGGGUGAGUGAUGGGCGUUGGGGACAUCCUCGUGGAGACAGAGGCUAGGGAGGAAGUAGGUGAUGUGAAACAAUUGGAGGGUGCACUGGGGGCAGGGGGUGGGGUAAUUAAAUCUGGAGUGUAGAUAAAUAAAUAAAUAAAUAAAUAAUAAAUAAAUAAAUAAAUAAAUAAAGACAAAGAAUUAAAGCAUUGUAAUGAACAUUAACUAGAUUAAUGACACAUAUGUAAUGCCAGUGAGAUUAAGUUGGUAUGUUAAUUAUUAUAGUACAAAUAUAAUUACCACAUGUAGGUGAGAACGAAAGAGGACCCUUUUUUGCAGAUGUAGUACUUGAGGUUUUUUCCUGACCUUUAAUGGUGUGACCAAGCCCCAUUCAGCUGACUAUGUGCAUUUUAUACUCUUGCUUUGAGCAAGAAUGCUUGGCAUGAACUUAGACUGAAAGGGCUUUCAUACUUGGUUGGAGGUAAAUCUGUUUAUUCCAGUCAACACAUGAGCAAGAAGAUGUGGCCAGAACCUCUGGAUCACUUUUGCUAUCUUCUAUUGACAUUCUAUUAUGAAAGGUAUCCCCCAGUUUUGUAGUUUAAAUCAAUACAUAUUUGUUGCCCUAAGUUCAUGUAGGUGAGCUCUGGUCAUUUGGUUUCUUGCUCAGGAUCUCACAAGCCUGCAAGUGAGGUUUCAGAUCAGCUUUCUCCUUUUUAAUGUAGAUGCUGAACAAGUAAGAAGCCUCAUUUAUAGCUUUGAAAUUGCUGGAAGAACUUCUGUGAUAAGGAGUGCUAUGAAUGGGGAUCUUAGGUUCUUCAAGUAGUGAUGGUGGAUUUAUCAUCAUUAUCAUCACCAUCAUUGCUUAUUUUAUUUAUGGGUUGUGUUGAUGUUCAUGUUCAGGAGUUUGUACACAUUAAACAUUUUUGCUU